UUUGCUUACCGCGAAACUUUUUCGCAUCGGUUGCUUUCGGAUGUAAUAAAUGCGGAUCCGAUUCAGAGGAAAAAUUAACUGGAUGAAUUUGUUUAUUGCAAGUUUUGUGGGCGUAAUUGCCUCUACAUAUAUCACGUACCCUCUAAUGGUUCAGCAUCGAGAUGAAAAGAAGAAAAAUUUGGUUACGGGCUCCUAAAAAUAGAUACUUUUUAUAUGACUUUGAUCUUGAAGGUAUGACUGCACUCAAUUUAGAACGCAAGCUGAUGAUAUUCAGGUAUUGAAGAAUUGUAAUAUCACUACUUAUGCUUUCCUGCUGUAAAGAAAUCAUUAAAAAGAAUUUUCUGUGACAAAUUUUAGUUAUUAAGGUACACUCAAUGAACAAAGUAUAUUUUCUAUAUUUGCAUAUAUAAAUAGCCACAUGUGAAUAAUAUUUAUCUUUAUUGUAUGGAUGAAUAGUGAUAAGCUGCUUUAUUUUGAAAAGAAAAUAAAUUAUGAUAAAAAUAAAUUUCUGGUACAACUUCAUUCUAGUUAAGUUGUAAUAUAUUUAUUAUGUUUUUCAUCUGCUGUUCUAGGUCAAAAGAAUGAAUAGUGAUAAGCUGCUUUAUUUUGAAAAGAAAAUAAAUUAUGAUAAAAAUAAAUUUCUGGUACAACUUCAUUCUAGUUAAGUUGUAAUAUAUUUAUUAUGUUUUUCAUCUGCUGUUCUAGGUCAAAAGAGUUUUUAGUUCCUCCUUUCUUUCCAUUUUUAAUAUAAUACAAGCUUUUUGUAGUAAUCUUUGGUACUUACGUAUUAUCGCAACCAGGUUGGCGUGAUUUGUAAGUUUGAGUAAAAAAGUAUGAAUAGAAAGAAAAUGGUACAUUUAUUAAUUACAGAUAAUUUUAAUACAGUUUUUUAUAUUAUUUUGUUUUAAAAUAUAAAAUAGCAAUUAAACCCGAAAAUGUAUUGCCGGACAAAAUAUCUUAGACAAUCAAAUAUUUUAAAAGAAAUGUUAUUUAAUUGACAAAUACUUUUCUGUUGUUGAGGCAGGAUUAAAAAAUGCAUACAUGCAUUUCUGAAUCUAGUUCCAAUAACACAAAAGUACCAAUUGACAUAAGAUAUAUAAUAUAAUUAUUUUUUUAAUUUGGUAAGCAUGUUAUAUAGUAUUGCUAAUCAAUAAGCUUUUGUGCACAUUUGGACAUAAAAAUUGUAAUUGAAUAAAAAUCGAUUGUAAAAAAAA